AUGAAGCUGCAAGGAAAGGCAUCCAAACGCCAUGCUUUGUCGCUGCCACCAUCAACCAGCCGACAAGCCACCAUUCUCAGAUUUAGGCAUCGGAAGCCCAUCACGACACACAACCACUCGUGUCGUCCACUGCUACCCACGCAGCAAGACCACCACCUAGGACACUCGGAAUCCUCGCCCCGCAUCCAUGCUCCAUCGAGGGUGUCGCACCAUUCGAGGUUGUUGUGCCUCGUGAUUGGAGAGCUCCCCUCCCCGAGAGAUCACCGCACGAGAAGGCAUCCCUACAACAAAACAGGGAAACACAUCCGAAAUUCCAAGCGAACAACAAACCAGCAAUUCAGUAGCAAGACAGCUAGGCCAGGCGAUCAUAUGUGGAAGAAGCCUGUUCAUGACAUGGUUAAGGUGAAUGUUGAUGCAUCUUUUCACGUCGACACAUUGUCAAGAGCGACUGGAGCAGUUAUUCGUGAUGAACAUGGCGACUUCAUUGCUGCUGCUUCCUGGUUUAUACCCAAUGUACGAGAUGUGGACGCUGCUGAACUUCUUGCUAUACGAAAUGGAAUGUAUCUUCUUGCCAAUAUGGGAUGUAUGAGAGCGGAGGUUGAAUCAGACUGCACCUUUGCGGUGGAAUCAAUUCAGCUAAUGGAUAAUUACCAAGGACCAGAUGUUGCAGUUGUUGCUGAAUGUAAGCAACUCUCCAUCGGCUUUGCAAAGAUCGCCUUCAAGCAUUGUUUCAGAGAAGCAAACCAAGUGGCUGAUGAGUUAGCAAAACAGUCUUUUAGAUCGAAUUCUUCUAGUUCCUGGGAUGCUAUCAUCCCUGACUUUAUUUCUCACCAUCUUGUAAAUGAUAUGACAGUUAUUUGA
rnacentral:rRNA from 1 species